GGGUCGAUGCUCGAGUGGUUAAUGGGGACGGAUUGUAAAUCCGCUGGCAAUGCCUACGCUGGUUCAAAUCCAGCUCGGCCCA
rnacentral:tRNA from 2 species